rnacentral:rRNA from 1 species
GAUGAACGCUGGCGGCGUGCUUAACACAUGCAAGUCGAACGGAAAGGCUCCUGCUUGCAGGGGUACUCGAGUGGCGAACGGGUGAGUAACACGUGGGUGAUCUGCCCUGCACUUCGGGAUAAGCCUGGGAAACUGGGUCUAAUACCGGAUAGGACGAUGGUUUGGAUGCCAUUGUGGAAAGUUUUUCGGUGUGGGAUGAGCUCGCGGCCUGUCAGCUUGUUGGUGGGGUAAUGGCCUACCAAGGCGUCGACGGGUAGCCGGCCUGAGAGGGUGUACGGCCACAUUGGGACUGAGAUACGGCCCAGACUCCUACGGGAGGCAGCAGUGGGGAAUAUUGCACAAUGGGCGCAAGCCUGAUGCAGCGACGCCGCGUGGGGGAUGACGGCCUUCGGGUUGUAAACUCCUUUCGCUAGGGACGAAGCGUUUUGUGACGGUACCUGGAGAAGAAGCACCGGCUAACUACGUG